rnacentral:rRNA from 1 species
GAUGAACGCUAGCGUGAGGCCUAACACAUGCAAGCCGAGCGGUAUUUGUUCUUCGGAACAGAGAGAGCGGCGCACGGGUGCGGAACACGUGUGCAACCUGCCUUUAUCUGGGGGAUAGCCUUUCGAAAGGAAGAUUAAUACCCCAUAAUAUAUUGAGUGGCAUCAUUUGAUAUUGAAAACUCCGGUGGAUAGAGAUGGGCACGCGCAAGAUUAGAUAGUUGGUGAGGUAACGGCUCACCAAGUCAAUGAUCUUUAGGGGGCCUGAGAGGGUGAUCCCCCACACUGGUACUGAGACACGGACCAGACUCCUACGGGAGGCAGCAGUGAGGAAUAUUGGACAAUGGGUUAGCGCCUGAUCCAGCCAUCCCGCGUGAAGGACGACGGCCCUAUGGGUUGUAAACUUCUUUUGUAUAGGGAUAAACCUACUCUCGUGAGAGUAGCUGAAGGUACUAUACGAAUAAGCACCGGCUAACUCCGUG